rnacentral:lncRNA from 1 species
GGCACCUCCAACAAGGCUUUGCUCAAGAACGUCUGCUGCUCAAGAACAGCAGAUGUUAAUGAAUUUCUCCCUUGUGACGUCCCUUCUCCUUCCCCUUCUCUCCUUAUUUCAGUUGCCGAAAAUUGCUACCUGCAGGAAGUAUUAACAGAUGGCACUUGCUGGCGUCUGAGAAAGUCUGGGACGUCGUGGACUGCAUCUGUAAGGAAUUGACGUUCUAACGAAGGCCUGGGGGAGGUGUGGCCGCUUCACCUGUGCCUGGAUCCCUCACCUCGAGUCCUCACUCAGCUUGGGGACCCUGUUUCCACCCAACACCCUGCUGCAGCCAUCGUCCUGGUUUUGUACCUGAGAGACCAGAGAGGCUGGCAGGGAGCCUUCUGGAAAGGAGUCAGCAGUCACUGGGUGUCUCUCCUGCUUCACGUUUCAUUUGCCCCACUCGCUUCCAAGGAGGCAAGCGCUUCUCUUACUCCACUGCGAGUCGCCUUGCAAAGGUCGUUGUCAGACCCCUAAUCACCCGACCCAAAGACGUGGAUUUUCCCACCUGAGCAGAGGUCAGCAAGCAGUGAAAAGGCAGAAAAGAGAUCAAGUAGUCAAGGUGCUGGUUGAACAUCUAGCAGGUGCUGGCGAGCUUGAACACACAAGCCCAAUACGCGACAGAGCUUCAUGUGAGAAGCAUGCAGGAAUCCUUCUAAGUAAGAACAAAGUGGAAGGAGACCCGUUGUUCUGUAUUUUUCCCCCACGUCCAAUCCCUUUACCCUUCACCUUUUUAGACCAUCACACUGCCACUGACCC